rnacentral:misc_RNA from 1 species
GAGGCAGAGAACCCAAGUAAAUGGCAAGAUUCUGGAAGAUGCUAAUGGAGUCAUUGCUCAUACUAAUGGAAUGAAUGGUGUGUAGACGACGGAAACUGUAUGGCGUAACUCGUAAGUGCUGCAAGGACUGCUUUUUAUAUCUUUAAGAACCCUCAUGUGAGGUGGGCAUCUGUUCCAUUACUGGUGGUAAAUUUGAUUUGUAUUCAUGUAGAGAAAAUGGAAAUAAGGGUAGCACGUACGAACAUUUAGCAGUCCUCUUGCUGAUGCUUUGUAAUGGUUAAAACAAUAUAUCAUCAGCAUCAGCAAGAGGACUGCUAAAUGUUCGUACGU